GAUUGUACUGGGGCAAUUCCGCGCAAAACUAUCACAUCCGUAAUACCAACACAAUGCCAUGGUAUUUAGUUGCCGUUAUGGAUGUGACAGUUUUGUGUUUGGAAUUGCCCACUGACACAUUUAUAUGACUUUGACCACCCCAUUUCAGUCAAUGAAAGGGAUAUAUUGCAGGACUGGUGUAUUACACGGCAUUUAUUUUUGCUAGGUGUACCUUCUAAAGUGGCUGGUGAGUGUACAUACACAAAACAAUAUGCACAUAAUAAUAAUGAAGCAAAAAAUCACCGUCUCAGAUGGCGUCCUUCUGUCAGUACACUUUCAUGCCGUGCACUGUGUGCUUGCUUGUAAGGUGUGUGAAUUUCAACAUAAUAGUGUCGUCUCAUAUCGAACACCAACUAAGUGCACUUAACGAAAAUGAACAUUUAACAUUUAAAUGUAACUUUAUUACGGUCCUUAACAGCCAUGGCCAAUUUAUUAAUUUUGACUGAGUUGAUAGUGUUUAUUUCCACGUAGGUUAAAAUUGGGAAGCAUGUGCUAUGCAACAAAAAUGCCUGGAAGACAGCAGUCCAUGCGUCAACUGCAACAGCUAUGGUCCGGACCCUUCUGCAAGGGGUGUUUCCAAUGGAUGUCCUCUUUCAAAGUAACCUCAAAGGUGGAAAAUCCAGAAGGGAUGAGACUGACCAGCAGCGGGAAGCACUGGACUCAAAACACCAUCAGUGUUAUUUUUGACGCAGUGUUGAAGAAGUUUCCACAGAAGUUUGACAGCUGUCAACUCAAACAUAGCUGAACUCAGAUUUAAAA